rnacentral:lncRNA from 1 species
CAUCAAUCUCUAGAAGAACCAAACCUCAGCACCAACCUGUUCAUCAUGAUGAUCAGAAUCCUCUGCCUGAGCGUCCUCGUGCUGCUUUUCUGCACAGACAUUGAAGCUAAAAAAGAAAAGUUCAAAAAGUUCAAGUGUUACACUUGUACAGAGAAAUACUGCAAAAAACAACAGUAUUGUAGUGAAGGACAGGUCUGCAUGAGCGCCUCUGUUAUCGGUACUGUUUGCUUCUCUUCAUUUCCUUUGAUAGACAAACAGUGACCGGCUUGGCUUUGCAUGCUAAUCCACUUUAUACCUUACAGAAGUCACACAUGGACAUCAGAAUAAAUCCUACUACAGGUCCUGUACGUCACCUUCAUACUGUCCAAAGAGUGAAAAAGCAGAGACCUUGUCCAUCGGCUUGGGUUAUCAGGUGUUUGUGGCGAACGUUAAGUGCUGCAAGUCCCAUCUCUGCAACAAAAAACGUCAACCCCGUAAGACCUUUGAAACACAAUCAAACUAAUGCUGCUCCAUACUCUGUGGGUAGUUUACACUGGUGUGUUAUGCUGUUCUUUUCAGACCCUAAGAUACCAUCAGGAAAUGGGUUGACGUGCCUUUUCUGCAGCAACACUAAAAACCCAAAGGAAUGCAAAGUCAAGGAAUGCAUUGGAAAUCAAACUCACUGCGUGCGAGCAAUCAGAAAUGGAACUCAUCAGAGUGGGUGUGCAACUAAAAACUUCUGUCACCCCGACAAGAUACUUGGACGCUACAAGCCUGUUAAUGGCUUCGCUGGUGCCCUCAGUUUUCCAGCUGAGUGUGAGAAAGCAAAACCUGCACCUGAGCCAACAACUGCUGAACCAACAACUGCUGAACCAACAACUGCUGAACCAACAACUGCUGAACCAACAACUGCUGAACCAACAACUGCUGAACCAACAACUGCUGAACCAAAGUGUGUUCCAGUUGAAACCACUCCUGAACCAACCCUUCCACCCUGUGAUAGAAAGGGAUAACUACUCCCACCACGUAAAAGCAGUUUCUUUGUCUUGCUGACAAAACCAUUAAAAGGUUGAUUAAAGUCUGGGUGAAUCUUUAGUGGAUCCUACAUCAAACAUAGAGAUCUUAACAAACUUAUCAGACCACC